UACGAAGGGGGCUAGCGUUGUUCGGAUUUACUGGGCGUAAAGGGCGCGUAGGCGGUGCGAUAAGUCAGGCGUGAAAGCCCCGGGCUCAACCCGGGAAUAGCGCUUGAUACUGUCGCGCUUGAAUCCAGGAGAGGAUGGCGGAAUUCCCAGUGUAGAGGUGAAAUUCGUAGAUAUUGGGAAGAACACCAGUGGCGAAGGCGGCCAUCUGGCCUGGAAUUGACGCUGAGGCGCGAAAGCCAGGGGAGCAAACGGG
rnacentral:rRNA from 1 species